rnacentral:rRNA from 1 species
CUGGCUCCUUCGGAGUCCGCAUUGUAAUUUGCAGAGGAUGCUUUGGGUGCGGCCCCCGUCUAAGUGCCCUGGAACGGGCCGUCAGAGAGGGUGAGAAUCCCGUCUUGGGCGGGGUGUCCGUGCCCGUGUAAAGCUCCUUCGACGAGUCGAGUUGUUUGGGAAUGCAGCUCUAAAUGGGUGGUAAAUUUCAUCUAAAGCUAAAUACUGGCCGGAGACCGAUAGCGCACAAGUAGAGUGAUCGAAAGAUGAAAAGCACUUUGAAAAGAGAGUUAAACAGCACGUGAAAUUGUUGAAAGGGAAGCGCUUGCGACCAGACUCGCCCGCGGGGUUCAGCCGGCAUUCGUGCCGGUGUACUUCCCCGUGGGCGGGCCAGCGUCGGUUUGGGCGGCCGGUCAAAGGCCCCUGGAAUGUAGUACCCUCCGGGGUACCUUAUAGCCAGGGGUGCAAUGCGGCCAGCCUGGACCGAGGAACGCGCUUCGGCACGGACGCUGGCAUAAUGGUCGUAAACGACCCGUCUU